CACGGGGUUGCGAGCGUUGUCCGGAAUUACUAGGCGUAAAGGGCAGGUAGGCGGAUCCAUAAGUUUAUCGUUUAAGGCGUCGGCUUAACCGGCGUAGUGCGGUAGAUACUGUGGAUCUGGAAUGCGGUUGGGGAAGACAGAAUUCCUGGUGUAGCGGUGGAAUGCGCAGAGAUCAGGAGGAAUACCGAAGGCGAAGGCAGUCUUCCAAGCCGUUAUUGACGCUCAACUGCGAAGGUGUGGGUAUCAAACAGGAUUAGAUACCCUGGUAGUCCCUGA
rnacentral:rRNA from 1 species